UACGAAGGGGGCUAGCGUUGCUCGGAAUUACUGGGCGUAAAGGGCGCGUAGGCGGAUAGUUCAGUCGGGGGUGAAAUCCUGGAGCUCAACUCCAGAACUGCCUUCGAUACUGGGGAUCUCGAGUCCGGGAGAGGUGAGUGGAACUGCGAGUGUAGAGGUGAAAUUCGUAGAUAUUCGCAAGAACACCAGUGGCGAAGGCGACCCGCUGGGUCACACCUGACACUGAGACGCGACAGCAUGGGGAGCGAACGGG
rnacentral:rRNA from 1 species